AGUGAACGCUGGCGGUAGGCCUAACACAUGCAAGUCGAACGGCAGCUCAGUAAGAGCUUGCUCUUACGGGUGGCGAGUGGCGGACGGGUGAGGAAUACAUCGGAAUCUACUUUUUCGUGGGGGAUAACGUAGGGAAACUUACGCUAAUACCGCAUACGACCUACGGGUGAAAGCAGGGGAUCUUCGGACCUUUCGCGAUUGAAUGAGCCGAUGUCGGAUUAGCUAGUUGGCGGGGUAAAGGCCCACCAAGGCGACGAUCCGUAGCUGGUCUGAGAGGAUGAUCAGCCACACUGGAACUGAGACACGGUCCAGACUCCUACGGGAGGCAGCAGUGGGGAAUAUUGGACAAUGGGCGCAAGCCUGAUCCAGCCAUACCGCGUGGGUGAAGAAGGCCUUCGGGUUGUAAAGCCCUUUUGUUGGGAAAGAAAAGCAGCAGGUUAAUACCCCGCUGUUCUGACGGUACCCAAAGAAUAAGCACCGGCUAACUUCGUG
rnacentral:rRNA from 1 species